GACGAACGCUGGCGGCGUGCCUAAUACAUGCAAGUAGAACGCUGAAGAGAGGAGCUUGCUCUUCUUGGAUGAGUUGCGAACGGGUGAGUAACGCGUAGGUAACCUGCCUUGUAGCGGGGGAUAACUAUUGGAAACGAUAGCUAAUACCGCAUAACAAUGGCUGCCACAUGUCAUUUAUUUGAAAGGGGCAAUUGCUCCACUACAAGAUGGACCUGCGUUGUAUUAGCUAGUAGGUGAGGUAAUGGCUCACCUAGGCGACGAUACAUAGACGGCCUGAGGGGGGGAUCGGCCGAGCGGGAACGGAGACGAGGGCGAGGAGCCUACGGGAGGCAGAAGGAGGGAAUAGGGAGCAAUGGGCGAAGGCGUGACGGAGCAAGGCAGGGGGAGGGAUGAAGGUCGUCGGAUCGGAAAACUCGGUGAUUAGGGAAGAAGAGAUGUGGAAGGAACUGUGCACAGCGUGACGGUACAUAAUCAGAAAGCCACGGCUAACUACGUG
rnacentral:rRNA from 1 species